AAAAUAUUCCGCUAGAUGACGCUCGCGUACCUUUAACGAGAUACUUGUUUAACGACGAGCGGUAAUGUAAAAAAUUUGUUAACAAAUUUCAAAAUACUACUCUGAAAUUUGGACGGAUGUUUCCUUAGACCAUUAUCAGUCUUUUUGUUAAAAUGUAAAAAGUUCUAAGCUUCAAACUAAUUGUACAUUACUGACACGACAUCCAGAACCAAAUACACAUCGCUGCAAAUGUUGCAUCAAGCUAUAAUCAUGACAUUAAGAUAUCAAUUUACAAACCUGCAAAAAAUAUGUUAAUGGAAUAUACAAAACUUACAUAGAUGUAAUAACCUCCUACAAGCCAAAGUCCAAAAACUAAUUGGAAUAAACAUACAAUGAACCAUAAUA